rnacentral:rRNA from 1 species
UGGCGGCAGGCCUAACACAUGCAAGUCGAACGGUAGCAGGAAGUGCUUGCACUUNGCUGACGAGUGGCGGACGGGUGAGUAAUGCUUGGGAACUUGCCUUUGCGAGGGGGAUAACAGUUGGAAACGACUGCUAAUACCGCAUAAUGUCUACGGACCAAACGGGGCUUAGGCUUCGGCGCAGAGAGAGGCCCAAGUGAGAUUAGCUAGUUGGUGGGGUAAAGGCUCACCAAGGCAACGAUCUCUAGCUGUUCUGAGAGGAAGAUCAGCCACACUGGGACUGAGACACGGCCCAGACUCCUACGGGAGGCAGCAGUGGGGAAUAUUGCACAAUGGGGGAAACCCUGAUGCAGCCAUGCCGCGUGUGUGAAGAAGGCCUUCGGGUUGUAAAGCACUUUCAGUUGUGAGGAAAAGUGAGUAGUUAAUACCUGCUCACCGUGACGUUAACAACAGAAGAAGCACCGGCUAACUCCGUGCCAGCAGCCGCGGUAAUACGGAGGGUGCGAGCGUUAAUCGGAAUUACUGGGCGUAAAGCGCACGCANGCGGUUUGUUAAGCUAGAUGUGAAAGCCCCGAGCUCAACUUGGGAUGGUCAUUUAGAACUGGCAGACUAAARUCUUGGARARGGGAGUGGAAUUCCAGGUGUACCGGUGAAAUGCG